rnacentral:lncRNA from 1 species
GCGCCCCAACAUUGUAUUUCUUGACUUUGAGGCAAAGAAGCAGACGUAGGCAGGUCGCUCAAGCCCCCCAGGGACACGCCGCCGGUGAGAGCCUCAGCUCCGAGCUGCCCGCAGGAUAUCCGUAGCUGUCAGAACUCCUCCUCUGCCCCCUUUCUAGAAGAAUUGAUGUAUGACGUCAUGUUAGAUUCAGGGGUGCGACACAGCGAUUGGGAAAUCGCGUCCGUUUCCCAGUGCACACCAGGCAAGCGUGGUCACCCGUCGUCACCACGAGCGCAUGGCUUCCCCGUCCUUCCUUUCCGCACAGAAGGCCACCAAUUUCCCGGCAGAGCGGGCUCUGUUUCUCAUUGGCUGGUGGACUCGGAGAAGGCGGGACUCUUCACACAGGCUCUUCUACCUUUCCUGCCUUUCCUAAGAGAGGCCAAGGAUCAAUAUGUAACCAGUCCUGUGUCAUCUCUGUCCCCACGCUUUGUCUCCUCUCCCCAAGCACGGAUUGUUAAGCGACUCCAGCCGUUCGUGUCUUCUGUAAAUAUGACUGUUCUCAAGUAUACCAGAUACAUUCCUGAAAAUACCUUUCUUGGGGUGGAAAGAUUCCUGCCAGUAUACAUUUCCACGUCCCUGAGUCUCCCCUUCCCUGCUUUUCAGCCCCCCUGUCUAUCUCCUCCCUCACCCCUCACCCUUCACCCUCACCUCUCUGUCCUCAGCGUCCCCCUAACCUGACCAGCGGUCUCUCCUUCCGGGGGUGGGCAGUCCAGGCUGACUCUCCCCCCCCCCCCCGACCGUUUCCUCCAUCUGAAGCAGUGGGGAGCUGGACAACACAUCUAGAAUGUUCUGCGGUCAAGUGGGGAGCAAGUUCAACACACCUAGAAUGUUCCGCGGUCAAGUACAGAAGAGUUAGCCUACACUUGACAGAAAUCUUCAAAAUCUUAAAAAAGAAAAUCCCACCUGUUAUGAAUCACUAUAAAGCUGUAAGUCAUUAGAAUCAAUGACUCUGUUGAUUGACUCGCCUUUGAUGUAUGGACUCAGAGCUGUGUGACCGAGGAUGUGUCAUUUCACCCCCCUGCACCUCAGUUUCCUCUUCUGUAAAGGGGGGAGGUUGGACCACAACAGUGGUUUUCAAACUGUUUUUGGAAGCAGCGUUUUCUUUUCCCCCAACCAAAGCCUCGGUGGACCCCAACAGUCAGAAGCGAGACUG